rnacentral:rRNA from 1 species
GCCAGUGGCCAUAGAACGUUAAAUGCAUCAGUUCUCAAUGGAUCACUGAAGUUCAACAACGUUGCGCGUGGUUAGUAUCCGGAUGGGU